rnacentral:lncRNA from 1 species
GGUUCUUCUUUUGCCUAUGCAAUUAAUGCUCUCCCAAUAAACGUGUGCAGAAGGAUGCUGUUGCAGCGUCGUUCUUCCUGGCCAGUUGAGCGCAUGCAAGAAAUGGUGCCGAAACCCGGGACAAGAAACAUCUUCAGGCACGAGUGAAGACCCCCUGCUACAGGGAGGAUUCAGAACUGCAUCGCGGGGAAGGAGUGGUUGAUAAAGGUUCCCGUAAAACAGACUGUUGAGAAGGAUCUGGCGUGGAUUCAGAACUCUUCAGCUGGGGAACAGGGGUACCCGUAAGUAAAAGGAAAUUAAUGUGAGUCUCUGAGAGGUAUGCUUUCUUAUGCAGUAGGUCCGGUAAUUGUCGUUGGGGUUGUGUUGCUUGCUUUCUUUCUUAGCCUUGAAUUUUUCAUCACCCUGGACAUGAGUGUAUCUGCUGGGGGUAGCUCGGCAGACACAUAAGAUCAUAAAGCAAGUGUAGAUAAACUUGUGGAUCGACCUUGGGGCUAAGAACCUCAUGUAGAUAAGUGAGUACCUCAAGUACACUUUAUCCAGGACAAGAAAUGUGAGCUAGCUGUUAAGGAAGGGCAAUGACUUUUGCAAGAGCACCAGGGAAGCAUAUCAGAAACAGAGAGAAAUGAAAAAGAAGGCACGCGUAGAAAAAAAAAAGUUAUUUUAGAGCUCUCCUAGGGACAGAAUAAAAACGGGAGACGUCCUGCUCUGCUUCCUAUGGAGAUAUUUUUAGCUUUGGAUAUUUGUGUUCCUUUGAGACCCUAAGUUUUAUUCCCUGUCUGUCUAUUGUCUGGUUUUGGUGUAUGAUUAUUGUUUUGUGUUUUAUGUUGAAAAAUAUAAUUGGUUAAAACUUUAUCUGCUGGCUGUCCAUCCUUUAACUUGUUUGAAAAGCAGCCUCAAUUUGCACAGUAGAAAGUGAUAAAAGCACUGUGGCUGGGAGUCAGGUACAGCUGAAAAAGCCCUGCAAAUGGAGCUCUUAAAGGGGCAGGCAGCCGCAUAUAGACGGACCUUCUGUUCGAGGAUUUGGAGAGAGAUUAGAUUCUCCUUGCUGGGAUGUCCUAUUUUCACUGAUCAAGCUGAAUUUGCAUGGGAUAGAGAUAUGCUGCUUGAUCAAGGUUGAUUUGCACAACAACAGACAGGAUAUCCAGUGCAGGUAUUUGAGCAGGUGAAUCAGAUUGCCAUAAGGGUGUGGAAAUCAUUGCCCACCGGUGUUGACAGUGUUGUAGAACUCCAGAGAGACAAUGAGGCACUGAAUCAGGUGAGAGAGGAGCACUCUCGAUUGGUUUGGGAGAGAGGGUCUGUUUGUGUUUCCUCAGGAUCAUCGACAACAGCUGCAGGUCCUGGAGAGGCUGACCAGAGCAAUUCAGGGCAGGUGGAGCUGUGAGGAUGUUCCUGUGGCUGGAGGUGCUCCCGCUAGUGAAAACUGAAGAGCUCUUUGUUCCUGAAACCUAUGCCGUUGACGAAUUUGGGUGUUUCCUCAAUUCUUUACAUCUAACGCCAGAUUUUAAGCCUUAAUGGAACUCGAAUAACAUCCACAUUGUUGGCAAUUUUACCUCUGCUUUUUCUUACUUUAAGGAAUGGGUGGGGGUAAUUUUGUUUGCUGCUGCCAUCUGCUGUGGGCUUGUGUCCAUGCUCUGGUUGGUCUGCAAGCUCAGAACCCAAAACAAAACAAAACUGUGACAAGGUCGUUAUCACUCAAGCACUUGCAGCCAUUGAACAAGGGGCCUCCCCUGAAAUUUGGCUAUCCAUGCUUAAGAAUUAAUUGACAUCUGAGUUCUCUGCUCUUGCGCUCCUCGGUUCUGUGGAAAAUGAGAGAGACUCAACAAUUAAAGCUCGCCUUAGGCCAUACUCAGCUCUUGCACCCCUAGAGGCUAGACUCAUUGCACAGGGACGAGUGAGUAGGUCAUUGACUCUUAUGGAUUGUUGGGCUAAGCACCACAUAGGAGUCGCUCAGAGGUUUGGGCACUUCUAGAAGACAAGUCGAUUUGCAUGAGGGUUGAGUGUCCAAGUGUCCCUCCCCUAGGAAAAAACGGCACAGGAGCAGGUCAGGGUUGCUCUGGGUAAAAGCCUGUGAGCCUAAGAGCUAAUCCUGUACAUGGCCCCUAUUUCUGCACACUAGGGAUUCGACCUCUAUCUUCAUCCAUUAAAGAGUGGCUUGCGUUUUAAUAAAAUAAAAUGGGGGAGAUGUGGAGAGCCGUGAGCAAUUGCCAUCAUGAGCCUCCGCUGUGCCUAACUGGUAAACAAGUAAUGUGCGCAGGUGCAAGAGUAAAUUAGUGCCAAGUCACUGCCCAUCCCGGGGCGUAGUAGUGGGGUGAUGAGUGAGCAGCUAAUCAGGAGCUGACAGGUUACAUGGAGGGGUAUAUAAGCAGCAUCAUUUUCCUUGUUCGGGGUUCUUCUUUUGCCUAUGCAAUCAAUGCUCUCCCAAUAAAUGUGUGCAGAAGG